GAAAUGCGAUAAGUAGUGUGAAUUGCAGAAUUCAGUGAAUCAUCGAAUCUUUGAACGCACAUUGCGCCCCUUGGUAUUCCAUGGGGCAUGCCUGUUCGAGCGUCAUUUGUACCCUCUAGCUCUGCUUGGUGUUGGGUGUUUGUCCCCGUCUCCGCGCGUGGACUCGCCCCAAAGUGAUUGGCAGCCGGCGUACUGGUCCCGGAGCGCAGCACAUGUCGCGCAAACGAGUGCCUUGGUACGGCGGCGUCCAUAAGCCCCUCUCUCACGCUCUUGACCUCGGAUCAGGUAGGGAUACCCGCUGAACUUAAGC
rnacentral:misc_RNA from 1 species